GACGCCCGGGGCCCGCGGCUGGAGGGGGAGUCGCUGUCGCACCCGCGCCUGGCGCCCGCGGCUCCCUCCGCCUCGCCGGCGUUGGCCCACCCUCUCGUAGCUCACCCCGCGAGGCUGGACAGCUCCCGGAACCCCGGAACCGGGAUCUAUUUCGGGGGCUCGGCUGCGUGGCGCCCAGGACUCUCCAGGGUCUCCCAGGAUCGCUCCCCGGAUUCGAGUCGUCCCCUCUCUCUUUCGGGUCUGGAGGGGUCGGCAAGCUGCUCUCCCAGACCUGGAGAAGAGGCCUCUCGACGCCGCUGCAUCUAAGGGGCUGUCCUGGGUUGUGGGGGAAGGGGUGCCUGGAGCUGAGCCAGGCAGCUCAGGGUUCCUUAUCCUAUCCCUAGGAAUACCAGCUGAUGUCAGCCCGCCAGCCAAAACUAGGGAGGAGAAGCGGGAGCCGGCCCUCUGGAGUCGAGAGAAGGUCUGGGGAGUGGGGUAGAGGGGAAAGCAAAGUCCAAAUACCUUCCCUUCAGACACCUCCUGGGGUCUAGACCCCACAAAUCUGUUGUGGGGAGGGCAAAAUACGAUGACUACGUUCCCAGGAAGAAGGUACCACAGCUCUUCAGGACCACGGUUGGGAGAAAGAAGGGAGGGGUUUUAGAACCUUCAGUGUGCGACUUCGUGUGCCAGUCUUCAUCUCAGGAUCUCAAGCUCUUGGAUCAUGGGCACGGAUAACCUGGUGUCCUUCUCUAUGGUCAAGAGGCUGCUGUUGCAAGGAAUCCAGGGGGAGAGAGUCAAUGGCCUGCUUGACGUGAACUCCAAAGUCCUCCUGAUCAAAAUACCAAUUUCUUACUGGGUCUGGAAAGGAGGAGAGAAGGAUAGAGAGUUUCUUCUAGGACCGAAUUGAUUCCUCCACAAAUAGGAAGAUCCCCAGACUGUGUGCACACACCCUCCUCCUCCUUCCUUCUCCCACCCUGGCUGGACCAUGACAUCACAUGGUGGAGGCUGUUUUUUAAAAAGAACUCAGGCCAGAUUUACAAGAAUGAUGCUCAGGCAGCGUGACUGUCAAGGACCGUGGCCAAGUGACCCAUAGCACACACCCAGCAGUGCUGAGAACAUAGCUAGUCCCUUAGCACCUGGGGCUGACUCAUGGUUGCUGUAGGACCCAAUGCCAGAUGCCAGGAUUGCUUUCUCCCUCCAUUCAUUAGGACUGUCCUAUGAAACCCUCCCCAGGAACCCUUCUACCCCAUCCUGGCAUGCCAGGAGCCUGGAUACUGCAUAACACAGGGUACUCAUUUGUUUACCAAGCCUUGAAGAUGACAGGCAAUAUGCUGAUAUGCUCAAUGCAUCAUACAAAUUGUUUUAUUUAAAACUGAACUAUUAGAUUAAGUAUCAUAGCAACUCACUUUACAGACAAGGAAACUGAGUCUCAAAGGUUAAGUAAGGGCCAGGCAUGGUGGCUCACUCCUGUAAUCCCAGCAGUUUGGGAGGCUGAGGUGGGAGGACGAUUGCUUAAGCCCGGGAGUUUGAGACCAGCCAAGGCAAUAUAGGGAGAACCCAUCUCUACAAAAAAUUAUCUGGGCCUGGUGGUGUGUGCCUGUAGUCCCAGCUACUUGAGAGGCUGAGGUGGGAGGAUUGCUUGAGCCCAGAAGUUGAGGCUGCAGUGAGCCAUGAUCAUGCCAUUGUACUCCAGCCUGGGCAGCAAAGCAAAACCCUGUAUUGAAAACAAACAAACAGGCCGGGCACGGUGGCUUACGCCUGUAAUCCCAACACUUUGGGAGGCCGAGGCAGGUGGAUCACCUGAGGUCAGGAGUUGGAGACCAGCUUGGCCAACAUGGUGAAACCCGUCUCUACUGAAAAUACAAAAAUUAGCAGGGCGUUGUGGCACAUGCCUGUAAUCCCAGCUACUUGGGAGGCUGAGGCAGGAGAAUCGCUUGAACCUGGAAGGUAGAGGUUGCAGUGAGCCAAGAUAGUGCCACUGCACUCCAGCCUGGGCGACAAAA
rnacentral:lncRNA from 1 species